rnacentral:rRNA from 1 species
AGUGAACGCUGGCGGUAGGCCUAACACAUGCAAGUCGAACGGCAGCACAGUAAGAGCUUGCCCUUACGGGUGGCGAGUGGCGGACGGGUGAGGAAUACAUCGGAAUCUACUUUUUCGUGGGGGAUAACGUAGGGAAACUUACUCUAAUACCGCAUACGACCUACGGGUGAAAGCAGGGGAUCUUCGGACCUUGCGCGAUUGAAUGAGCCGAUGUCGGAUUAGCUAGUUGGCGGGGUAAAGGCCCACCAAGGCGACGAUCCGUAGCUGGUCUGAGAGGAUGAUCAGCCACACUGGAACUGAGACACGGUCCAGACUCCUACGGGAGGCACCAGUGGGGAAUAUUGGGCAAUGGGCGCAAGCCUGAUCCAGCCAUACCGCGUGGGUGAAGAAGGCCUUCGGGUUGUAAAGCCCUUUUGUUGGGAAAGAAAAGCAGCAGGUUAAUACCCCGCUGUUCUGACGGUACCCAAAGAAUAAGCACCGGCUAACUUCGUG